rnacentral:lncRNA from 1 species
GCUGAGGCGGGAGUGCUGGGUUCUGAUGAUGGCUGAAACUUCUGUCCAUAGGAUGCUGCCACAGACAUUCUGGGUGUGCCUUUCUUCUUCAGGCUUGAACAUACACAAAUAGGAAGAGACCAGUUAACAAGGAAAUAUUGUUAAGAACCAGAGGCCCAGGAGAUCUUCUAUGAGAGUGUGUGCCCUAGAGAUGACAGGGAAUCUUCAUCCAUGAUACUUCAACAAUACGGCUGCCUCAAUAAGACCUGAACAAGAAUAAAACCAAUGGACAUGCUAGUACAAAAGUGUGAAAUUUCUUGGGGGCCCCACCUCUGGACAAG